ensembl:lncRNA
AUUAAACGAUAGUCUGCAAAUGUUAAUGUGAUAAAUGCUGAUCUACUGGAUGCUGUAAGCCAGGCUUGUCUUAGUUUAAGACAAACCUUUGUGUGAGAAGGUGUUGUUUAUUUAAAACACAGGCCAAAAAUGGCUCAUUCGGAGUGAUUUUCUUGGGAAGAUCUUUGGAAAAAUUUCAAUCUGAGUGUAACAAAUCCAUGUUGAUUUCAGAGCAAAAACUCAGCUUCAUCUCAGCAGAGAAAUACAAUGAAAUAAAAGUAGUGAAAUAAUUCAGUCUGGGUUUAUUUGAUUUUGAUUGGCUCUGGGCUCUCGGGAGACCCUAACAGGCCUGAUUCUGAUUCGUCGUCCUGCGAGGAGAGCGAAAUGAACGUCACAUGGGAUUGUGUCACAGAGGAGACACAUACAGCGCUCCAUUUCAUUUCUGCCAGCAACUUUCCAGGCCGCUUGAAUCUCAUUGUCUUUCUGCCAUGUCUUACGCUGAAUCAUAACAACGUUAAAACGAUGAACUGGAAUUGAAUCAUGCACGAGGAAAUCAGUAAUGAUUAAGGCAAAUGAACAUGAAAAGUGAUAUUGCAGAACAUGCUGAUCAAAUUGCAUCGGUCUUCUUGCGUGUGACUGAUCUCUGUUGAACAUAAUUAUAAAUUACGGUUAGAAUGAUCAAUUUGCAAACAGCCGUCACAUGCGGCCUGAUAAAGCACGCCAGACGAAACUGCCCACAAACCACACAUUGAUCUUAUCAAACGACAAAGCUGCCCUCCUGUUUAAAAAUAUGCAAGCGCCAAACCCAGGAGGGAUAAUUAAAAGUCACAAUAAGCACACAUCCUCUGGAGCGGCUCCAGUGAAGGUCACCUCAUCCACGCAGCCGUGUGAGCGAUGAGUCCUGCAGAGGAGAGCACUGCCACCGGCAUCGGCCAUCCACAACCCCAGCGCAGGCCUGCAUCGCCACCGCAGGUGGGAGCAGCAGAUGCGCGCCGCCGCUAAUGGCUCCGGGGCCGACUAUGAGAGAAAGCCACCAAGCAUGGAGGCGGAGCAGAUGGGCCCGAGACUUACAGAUAAUGCUCGAGACAGGGUUUGGACGGCGCCGUCUGGUUCCCUUGGAUUUGGCGGCUGUGUGUUUGUUGCUAUUUUUAUUCAGCAAGGACACAUUAAAUUGAUUAAAAGUUGCAGCAAAAGCAUUCACGCUUCUAUUUAAAAUGAUUUUAAACCUUUUUUUUAUCCAUCAAAG